GUAACACGUAUGCAACUUACCCUCUACUGGGGAAUAGCCCAGAGAAAUCUGGAUUAAUACCCCAUAAUAUCAUGAAUUCGCAUGUUUUCAUGAUUAAAACUCCGGUGGUAGAGGAUAGGCAUGCGGCCCAUUAGUUUGUUGGUGAGGUAACGGCUCACCAAGACUACGAUGGGUAGGGGUUCUGAGAGGAUGAUCCCCCACACUGGUACUGAGACACGGACCAGACUCC
rnacentral:rRNA from 1 species